GGGGACGGGCGUGGGUUGGAGCGGGCCGUGCUCCCGGCUGUUACAAACCAGCAAACCUCGGGACUCAACGCAACAGAAGUUUGUAGCUUAUGCGCAGCGCAAGCAGGUGUUUUUCUUUCCCACCUGGUAAUUCGAGGGCCGGGCUCCUCCUUCAGCUUCAGAGCGUGGCUUCCAGAGAGUCUGGGCCAGAACGGAAGCGAGGGACGCGUCGUUUUGUCCCUCGUUCCACCAGCUACCAUCAGUCACCAGGCUGGACCAACUGCGAAGAAUGCUGAGAAAUGACUUCCCCAGAGGGAAGAGAAAAUGGGCCUGGAGAUCCCCGGCCACAAACGCCAGGGUGCCGCUGUCUCUGAAGGUGGGGAAACGAUGGAGGUUCAGGGAACUAAUGUCCACCAAGAAAACCCCGUCCCGAAGAAAAGGACAGGAAGCUGCCGUCUGUCUUCUGCAUCACGGAGGUGUCGUCACUGAGAAAAUCCUUCAGGCCGGGGGCCGGUACGAAGGUCUCCACAGAAGCUCCCUGACCCUGUGGGCCUGGAUAUACAUUUACUGAUCGGGCAGACAGAUGGUCAGCAGCACCAGUGGGUGCCAGACAGCUCCUUCAGCACAGUUCCCGGGUUUGGGGACAGUACCCCGCCUUUCCGUACGUGGACCGCAUCCUGGUGACCAGGAGAUGGUUUUCAGUGACACACAAGGCAGCCUUGAGCACCGCUGAACCCUAAAGUAAACUUUCCAAGUGACACAUGGCAUUUCUAGGAGAUGAUAGACACCUUCAUCGUCUGAUGCUGUCAUGGAAAUAUGCAUAUGUCAAACCUUUCAGAGUAUACCGUCUGCAUAUUUAUUAUGCCGAUUA